rnacentral:rRNA from 1 species
GUCGAACGCUGGCGGCGUGCUUAACACAUGCAAGUCGAACGGAAAGGCCCUGCUUUUGCGGGGUGUUCGAGUGGCGAACGGGUGAGUAACAUGUGAGUCACCUGCCCUUGACUUGGGGAUAACUUCAGGAACCUGGGGCUAACACCGGCUAGGAGCUCCUGCUGCAUGGUGGGGGUUGGAAAGUUUCGGCGGUUGGGGAUGGACUCGCGGCUUAUCAGCUUGUUGGUGGAGUAGUGGCUUACCGAGGCUUUGACGGGUAGCCGGCCUGAGAGGGUGACCGGCCACAUUGGGACUGAGAUACGGCCCAGACUCCUACGUGAGGCAGCAGUGGGAAAUAUUGCACAAUGGGCGGAAGCCUGAUGCAACAACGCCGCGUGCGGGAUGACGGCCUUCGGGUUGUAAACCGCUUUCGCCUGUGACGAAGCGUGAGUGACGGUAAUGGGUAAAGAAGCACCGGCUAACUACGUG